rnacentral:RNase_P_RNA from 1 species
GAGAGAGGAAGAGCGGCUGCCGGCAGUAUUGCUGAGGAAAGUCCCCUCACUUUCUGGACCGCGGGCACGUGCAAGCGUGCAGGGUGAGAAUCCUGGCUCUGGAACAGAAACGAUACCGCAGCACAGAAAUGCGAUGAUUUCGAAAGGAUGAGGUCAUGUGUAUGCGGAUGGAACGGCGAAUCCCCGCGGGUGCAAGCCAAAAUAGGGCAGAAAGGCAGUCCAGACCUGCCCGAGUCUGGCGCAUAGCUGAAUGCCGCAUAAGCGCGAUAAGGGCUUUGCCCUUGCGCUAACAUAAAGGGGCUUACUCUCCUCACUC